CUAAGUUUCAAAGCCUUCCAGUUGAGGCCUUCAUCUCAGAAUUUUUAAAAUCUCACAAUCUCGCCACGCCCCAUACGAAGAAAGGUUUUGUUUGAACUACGAUCGGCAAGUAACUGAAAUGAAGUUCCUAGUCUACCACAAGGAGGAAGAAAGGACUGCCUUUAGAUUAAGGGAAGCAUCAGUCAGCCUGGGAAACAUCAGUCAAAAAAGGUCAUAACCACCAUGGAAAACUUGAAAGACGUGUUAUCUCGCACCCCAGGAAAGAGAGUCCGUCAGUUAACAGCGAUAUUCCGGCAGAUGAAAUCGUGGUUUCUGCUCAAAAUCUCCAUCAUCAUCAUUCCACAACUGUCCUUCCCUGUAUACCUGCUCCACACUGCCCUUGAAACACCCAGAGUUUUCUGGCUUUCUUGGGUCUGUGCCAAAUCCUUUUCCUGAUCCAUUUUAUUGAAUGGCCCGAGUGAAGGCGAUGGUUUUUUUUCCUCGUCCACGUUCUCCACAUCAUCUUCAUUUGAUAGCCCUCUGUGGCUCCCAUCCCCUUCUUUGUCCUUUUUAAAUAAACUCCCAGCCAACCUGGCCCUGGCAAGGAAAAGAUCUGUACACAUUUCAUGUCAGCCUGACGUUGGCAGAUAUUUAAUAAACUGGGGCAUCAAAU